AGGGAGACGGGGUCGGAGCUGGGCCAGCCGGGAGGGGCAGGGCACGCUGGAGCGGAAGGCAGCCGGUGGAUCCCCACAUAUGUGAGCUGUUCCAUUUUUCUGUCACAGAGAAGGGCAGAGACGAUCUCACUCCCGUGGCUCGGACUUUGUCAGGGAACCAAGAAAUGCAGCAGGAGGAGUGUGGUCUCCUUCCUUAUCACGACUGACAUGGAAAAAUCACAAGGCAGGCAGCCUCCCUGUGGCAGAGGCCCGAGGCAGCAAGGUGCACAAACUCCAGCUGUGGGUGAAUGGAUCCCUGCCCCUGUCCACACCUGCUGCUCUGGGCCAGCGGCCUUUUCCACCAGAGGGGACGGGGUCUUGCUCCAAGGACGGCCCUCCCAGUGCAGUCCCCAGUCCGUUGGGCCAGAGGCCUCAAGGCAGUGCUGGUUCCUGGUCCAGGUCCACUUUCUCCCACUCACCAGUCUCCAGAACCAGUCACCCUGGGCCCAC
rnacentral:lncRNA from 1 species